rnacentral:rRNA from 1 species
CUUGGCGACUAUAGUGUUUUGGACCCACCUGAACCCAUUCCGAACUCAGAAGUGAAACGAAAUAGCGUCGAUGGUAGUGUGGGGUUUCCCCAUGUGAGAGUAGAACAUCGCCAGGC